rnacentral:lncRNA from 11 species
UUAGAUCUCCCCAAGAAUCAGUUGGAUCCCCUGAUUGCCAGUCUUCACUCCCAGAGAACCCCAUAAAAGCAAACAGCUGAAAGCAAUCUCUGUCAGUUUGUUCGAAUGUAGUUGGAAAGGAAGAAAGACCAGACCAGCAAGAUUUUCGAUAAGGCCAAAUAGGGUGGAAAACUUCAGCUCAGCGGCUGAUUCAAAUGAACUCUCAUAUCUUCAUGUUUGAUCAGAGGUUUAUGGUAAAAACUGUCAUGAUGGGAAGGAUCAAUUGGAAGAAAAAAUACAACUAACUUCUAAAAUGGAUCAGUGCCAUUUCAAAGAAUCAUAAAGUUGGAAGAAAUUGCAAGAACUAUCAAGUUCAACCCUCUACCACUCAGGAAUACACAAAUAAAUCACUUCUGAGAGAUGGUUGUCCAAUUUUUGCUUUAAAAUUUCCAAAGAAUGAGCAUCUACCAUCAUCUGAGACCAU